rnacentral:rRNA from 1 species
AGUGAACGCUGGCGGUAGGCCUAACACAUGCAAGUCGAACGGCAGCACAGUAAGAGCUUGCUCUUACGGGUGGCGAGUGGCGGACGGGUGAGGAAUACAUCGGAAUCUACUUUUUCGUGGGGGAUAACGUAGGGAAACUUACGCUAAUACCGCAUACGACCUACGGGUGAAAUCAGGGGAUCUUCGGACCUUGCGCGAUUGAAUGAGCCGAUGUCGGAUUAGCUAGUUGGCGGGGUAAAGGCCCACCAAGGCGACGAUCCGUAGCUGGUCUGAGAGGAUGAGCAGCCACACUGGAACUGAGACACGGUCCAGACUCCUACGGGAGGCAGCAGUGGGGAAUAUUGGACAAUGGGCGCAAGCCUGAUCCAGCCAUACCGCGUGGGUGAAGAAGGCCUUCGGGUUGUAAAGCCCUUUUGUUGGGAAAGAAAAGCAGCAGGUUAAUACCCCGCUGUUCUGACGGUACCCAAAGAAUAAGCGCCGGCUAACUUCGUG